GCCGCCAUGGUGAAAUUGGUAGACACGCUGCU
rnacentral:tRNA from 1 species